rnacentral:snoRNA from 1 species
UGCCGUGAUGUCGUAAUUUGCGUCUUACGCCGUGCUCAGUGACAGUCGCCUGCUGUCAGGGUGCUGGCACGGGUGGCUGACGAGCAGUUAGCGCUGAGCA